GGGAGGUAUGGAUAUGGACAAGCUAUGCCAAGGAGCAGGGCUUUGUCAUGGAGAGUGACUAGGUGCUUUUACAUAGGAAAGUCACCUGAUAAUAUUAAAACCUGUGAAAUAUCACUCUGGUGGAAGUGUGAAUGAAUUUGAAAGGGGUGUAACACUGUUCUACUUUGUUUACUCCUCAGUACCCUUGGCUGUGUACAUUUGAGUAAAGAGAGCACUAUAAAAUCAAAAACCAAUGAAAUGGUUUCCAGAACACAGAACUAUUAAGCUUAAGAAAAGGACAGAAGGAACUGAAGAGAGAGGAACUGUUUUGGAGCAUCACACUUCCACCUCAGAAGAAAUAAGGAAGGAAGGAGGAGGGUGUUCCCACGGCUCUUCAACCAGGCCGGCUCUUCAGCCUACAUCCCCAUCUCAUCAAGUAAAAGGGAUUUUUCAACUGGACCAACCAGAUGGUUUAACAGUGCACUCCCACACCAUUCAACUACGCAAGGGAGAUACACUUAACAUAUGCAGUCGUAUAACACCUACUAACAUUUUCAAACAUUAAACCUUUAAAAAAGAGUUCUAAAGAAAUAGAAGCUUGAAGUAUCAUCUCUCAAGUAUAUAGACACUACUUCAUGGUGUGGUAAUAUAUGCAUAUAGAAGCUAGUAAACACCUCCAGGAGAUGCAAAAGGAAUUAGAACUGCCACAAGGUGCAAGCAAAACCUUGAGUUCUGUUUUUCCUCUUCUAAUCCUUCACCCAUCUGAGCUAAAGUCUAGACCUAAGGAGGCUACUAAUUCAGGGAUCGAGUAAUCUGCCAAGCAAGAGUUUAUUCAAGCACAGUUUGAAAUAAAGGUUUCAAAUGCAUAGCCUGUCGAUACUUUGGAAGGAUUCUCAUCAUAACGAGAUAUGGGAGGACACCUGAGACGGCAGGCCAGAAGUCACUCAGUAGGAGAAACAUCCGUUAGAAGUAAUAAUGUGGGAUUGCUGAAGUAAAGACUAUAGGAAGAAAAAAGUGUCUGUGUGUAGGAAACGGAAAGGGAGAGAAAAAUACACUGAGAUGGUAAAGUAAGGAAGUGGAAGAUCAGCAGAAUGUGCAGAUGCCAAGCCAUCCAAGAAAAUCAUCUCUUGUGAUUGUUGCGAAGUCAACUAGCUAAUGUGACUCACUGCUAGGCUGUUGGAUCUGAGACUUAUGUGGGAUAAUUUAGAAACUUGCUAGUGUCUUAAGAUCAAUUACUCACCAAUGAGAGUGGCAUUGAACUGUGAAUGUUCCUCCUAGAUUUUCCAUGAAGACUAAUGGUUUUGUCUUGUCUUGAAUUUGUUUUAAUUACAAUUUGUAUACAUCCUGUUCCACCCUGAAAUUUUUAUUUUCCAAAUGGUUUUUCAUUUAAAGAGACUAAAUAAAGGUUCUGACUGAGUUGUACUUGUGGGAACUCCAAAAUCUUUUUAUAGGAAGCUAUUUUCAUCAAAUAGUGUUGAGAAUCAAGUUUCCAGUUGGAGAAAAUAACAGAGACAUGCAAAUUCAGGAUGUAGCUGUACAGCAAUGUUAGUGAAGAGAGAAAAUUUUGAGUCAUUUAGACAUUAACCAUUAAGCAUCUGGAUUUUUUUAAAUGUUAAGACAGAAAAAAAUACCUGUAUGUCAACCAAAAUUUUAUUUAAUUUAGUGAACUGUGAUAGGGACUCCUCUCUGCUCAUCCAAAUCCAGGUUUUCUUCUGCUCCUGGACACAUAAGCAGGGUAUGUGUUGCAGUUAGCUGUGGCCAGGACAUUGGACUUGUGGUCAAUGGAAUAUGCACAAGAAGAGAUGUGCGAUAUUUCCAAGCCUGACUCCCUAAACAGUAAAUACUUUCGAGUCAUAAUUUUCCACAUUCUGUCCUAUUAGCUGUGUCAAUGGAAUGACUAUUGGCAUCUUAGAAGUUAGAGAUGAAAGAUCUCCUAUCAGCCUGAUUCUUCAGAGACUUACUUGGAACAGAACCUCUGCUGUGGAUCUUAAACCACUCACUCUGGGGAAUGGUGAGGAUUAAAUUCCUAUUUUGUUUGAG
ensembl:lncRNA LINC00343 long intergenic non-protein coding RNA 343